AAAGCAUAUAUUCAGCAUACAACAUACCUGUGAAGCUAAGAAAUAAAUCUGCUGCUUUGGAAGUGUAAUAAGGAAAAAUGGCUGAAUAAUGAAGAAAAACUACACAGAACUAAAAGAAGUAUUACACAGUGCAGAAGUUACUAAUGGUAUGCAGAAACUCAUCAACUCAGAUGUAUUGAACCUGAAAGCAUGCAAUGUGAAAACUCAGUUCACAAGGAACAACAUUAAACAGCUGAGAGAGGAAAGCUGUAUAAAGAUUGAGUGUUUUCUGUUAGUUUCUGUGAGCUAUUCCAAGUCAUUCUGUGGUACCUUAAGAAUCUGAGCAGAACUGUAAAGAGUGAAGCCGAAUUUCCCACACAACAUCCUUGUCUCUAAAUUGGAGAGACAUCAAUUUGAUGGAUGGACCACUCGGUGGAUAAAGAACUGGCUCGAUGGCCGCACGCAAAGACUUGUGAAGAAAUGCUCCAUGGAAAAUCUUCAAAUGGUGGGAAGAUGUGGGCAGACAACUGAAAGACAAGUCCUGGACGCUUUUAACUCAGUAGGACAAGAAGUGGAUGUGGAUUCUCCCACAAGAAUGGGUGCAAACAGUGCAGGAAUCCAGAAAAGGACAAGGAAAUUGAUUCUCUUGUUUGGGUUUUUUUUGCACAGAAAUGGCCUUAUCACCAAUGGGAGAAUUUUUGAAGAUUUACCAUCCAGUUGCAAAAAAGGAAAAGAAAAA
rnacentral:lncRNA from 1 species